rnacentral:ncRNA from 1 species
AUGAGGGGAGCUGGCCCGAGCCGGCUGAGAUACGGAUGACUGGAUCCGUGACCCUUGAACCUGAUACGGGUAAUGCCGGCGUAGGGAAGAAAUUUUC